rnacentral:rRNA from 1 species
CGUGAACGCUGGCGGUAGGCCUAACACAUGCAAGUCGAACGGCAGCACAGGAUAGCUUGCUCUCUGGGUGGCGAGUGGCGGACGGGUGAGGAAUACAUCGGAAUCUGCCCAGUCGUGGGGGAUAACGUAGGGAAACUUACGCUACUACCGCAUACGACCUUCGGGUGAAAGAGGGGGAUCGCAAGACCUCUCGCGAUUGGAUGAGCCGAUGUCGGAUUAGCUAGUUGGCGGGGUAAUGGCCCACCAAGGGGACGAUCCGUAGCUGGUCUGAGAGGAUGAUCAGCCACACUGGAACUGAGACACGGUCCAGACUCCUACGGGAGGCAGCAGUGGGGAAUAUUGGACAAUGGGCGCAAGCCUGAUCCAGCCAUACCGCGUGGGUGAAGAAGGCCUUCGGGUUGUAAAGCCCUUUUGUUGGGAAAGAAAUCUUUCAGGCUAAUACCCUGGGAGGAUGACGGUACCCAAAGAAUAAGCACCGGCUAACUUCGUG